CAAAGCUCUUCUCUUUCUCUCUUCCCAUCAAGCCAAUGCCUAAGUUUCUCUCCAAUCUGCUUCCCCCAUCUCUCCUUCUUUCUUCUCCAUAAGUCUAGGAGAGGUACUAAUCCUAGCACGUCUUCCAUCAAAUCUAAGAGAGUUUCUAAUCCUAAUGCCACUAUCUUUUUUUUUUUCAUAUUUCCAUCGUCUACCAUUCUUCCUUGGAG
rnacentral:lncRNA from 1 species